rnacentral:misc_RNA from 1 species
UCAAACUUGGUCAUUUAGAGGAAGUAAAAGUCGUAACAAGGUUUCCGUAGGUGAACCUGCGGAAGGAUCAUUAAAAAAUCUUAACGAGCCGCAAGGCUCUGAUAUUUUGUGAAAUGUGUAUAUCGUUAUUGCUGGCUGUUGUGGGUGGGUGCCCCGGCUUCCCCCCUGCGGUUGGUAAUAGUGAAUAUAUGUUAUAUUAACACAUGUGUUUUUGAUGUUGAGGAAAGUGUUGUGUGUGCCUUUGGUGCGCAUAAUGUUACGUAAUGUAUAUACAACUUUCAACAGUGGAUCUCUCGGCUCUUGCAUCGAUGAAGAACGCAGC